GAUGAACGCUAGCUACAGGCUUAACACAUGCAAGUCGAGGGGAAACGACAUCGAAAGCUUGCUUUUGAUGGGCGUCGACCGGCGCACGGGUGAGUAACGCGUAUCCAACCUGCCCAUCACUUGGGGAUAACCUUGCGAAAGUAAGACUAAUACCCAAUGAUAUCUCUAGAAGACAUCUGAAAGAGAUUAAAGAUUUAUCGGUGAUGGAUGGGGAUGCGUCUGAUUAGCUUGUUGGCGGGGUAACGGCCCACCAAGGCAACGAUCAGUAGGGGUUCUGAGAGGAAGGUCCCCCACAUUGGAACUGGGACACGGUCCAUACUCCUACGGGAGGCAGCAGUGUGGAAUAUUGGUCAAUGGGCGAGAGCCUGAACCAGCCAAGUAGCGUGCAGGAAGACGGUCCUAUGUGUUGUAAACUGCUUUUAUAAGGGAAUAAAGUGAGAGUCGUGACUCUUUUUGUAUGUACCUUAUGAAUAAGGACCGGCUAAUUCCGUG
rnacentral:rRNA from 1 species